rnacentral:rRNA from 1 species
AUGAACGCUAGCGGCAGGCCUAACACAUGCAAGUCGAGGGGCAUCACGAGGUAGCAAUACUUUGGUGGCGACCGGCGCACGGGUGCGUAACGCGUAUGUAACCUACCUAUAACAGGGGCAUAACACUGAGAAAUUGGUACUAAUUCCCCAUAAUAUUCGGAGAGGCAUCUCUCCGGGUUGAAAACUCCGGUGGUUAUAGAUGGACAUGCGUUGUAUUAGCUAGUUGGUGAGGUAACGGCUCACCAAGGCAACGAUACAUAGGGGGACUGAGAGGUUAGCCCCCCACACUGGUACUGAGACACGGACCAGACUCCUACGGGAGGCAGCAGUGAGGAAUAUUGGUCAAUGGACGCAAGUCUGAACCAGCCAUGCCGCGUGCAGGAAGACGGCUCUAUGAGUUGUAAACUGCUUUUGUACGAGGGUAAACUCACCUACGUGUAGGUGACUGAAAGUAUCGUACGAAUAAGGAUCGGCUAACUCCGUGCCAGCAGCCGCGGUAAUACGGAGGAUUCAAGCGUUAUCCGGAUUUAUUGGGUUUAAAGGGUGCGUAGGCGGUUUGAUAAGUUAGAGGUGAAAUCCCGGGGCUUAACUCCGGAACUGCCUCUAAUACUGUUAGACUAGAGAGUAGUUGCGGUAGGCGGAAUGUAUGGUGUAGCGGUGAAAUGCUUAGAGAUCAUACAGAACACCGAUUGCGAAGGCAGCUUACCAAACUAUAUCUGACGUUGAGGCACGAAAGCGUGGGGAGCAAACAGGAUUAGAUACCCUGGUAGUCCACGCAGUAAACGAUGAUAACUCGUUGUCGGCGAUACACAGUCGGUGACUAAGCGAAAGCGAUAAGUUAUCCACCUGGGGAGUACGUUCGCAAGAAUGAAACUCAAAGGAAUUGACGGGGGCCCGCACAAGCAGUGGAGUAUGUGGUUUAAUUCGAAGCAACGCGAAGAACCUUACCAGGUCUUGACAUCCGAUGCAUAGUGCAGAGAUGCAUGAAGUCCUUCGGGACAUCGAGACAGGUGGUGCAUGGUUGUCGUCAGCUCGUGCCGUGAGGUGUCGGGUUAAGUCCCAUAACGAGCGCAACCCCUACCGUUAGUUGCCAUCAGGUCAAGCUGGGCACUCUGGCGGGACUGCCGGUGUAAGCCGAGAGGAAGGUGGGGAUGACGUCAAAUCAGCACGGCCCUUACGUCCGGGGCUACACACGUGUUACAAUGGUAGGUACAGAGGGUCGCUACUCCGUGAGGAGAUGCCAAUCUCGAAAGCCUAUCUCAGUUCGGAUUGGAGGCUGAAACCCGCCUCCAUGAAGUUGGAUUCGCUAGUAAUCGCGCAUCAGCCAUGGCGCGGUGAAUACGUUCCCGGGCCUUGUACACACCGCCCGUCAAGCCAUGGAAGCUGGGGGUGCCUGAAGUUCGUGACCGCAAGGAGCGACCUAGGGCAAAACCGGUAACUGGGGCU